rnacentral:rRNA from 1 species
UACGGAGGAGGCAAGCGUUAUCCGGAAUUAUUGGGCGUAAAGCGUCCGCAGGUGGCAAAUCAAGUCUGCCGUCAAAGACCGGGGCUUAACCCUGGAAAGGCGGUGGAAACUGAAUUGCUAGAGUGUCGUAGGGGUAGAGGGAAUUCCCGGUGUAGCGGUGAAAUGCGUAGAGCUCGGGAAGAACAUCGGUGGCGAAGGCGAACUUUCUGGCCUGUUCUUGACGCUGAGGCGCGAAAGCUAGGGGAGCAAACGGGGAU